AGUCCAAAUGUCCCAUCUCCGGUAGCCAUUGGAGCAAUGACCGGCGAUGCUAUGAUUGGACUUAGAGCAAGAUUAUUCCAUUUCACAUCCUGGUAGGAACUGUGGUUCCUAUUUUCUCUGGAUCCAGGGUGUUAAUUUCUGGGACUACAUAU